UCAGCUCUACAGAGUGUAGAGUUUGUUAGCCAACCGUCAAACAGAAGAAUAAUUCUACAGAGUGUUAAUUGAGCGCCUGUUUGCAUGAGGGGAGAAGCGGUUGAUGUCGACAGGAGAGACCUCGGUGCACAGUCGAAAAUGCUGCUGUGUGUUGUGUUUGGUGGGGAGCAAAAGUACGUUAGGCUGUCAGACCUAAUAUUUGAUGCCUUCAAGAAAGAUGUGUGCCUAAAAUUUAACAUACCAGAAGAGAGGCAGCUAGAUAUGAAGGUCUAUGACCAAUCUGACACAGAAGUUGAUGGAGA